UCUCUUUCAACUUUCGACCGCAGCGGAACAACGGGACAGCGAAGCGCACGAAACACGAACGAAAUCGUUGGAAAAGACGCCGCGUGUGAUCGAAAAUCGAAGCUACAGAACGCGUAGAGCCGGAGAGCCAAAGUAAUUACAUCUGGGUUCUGUGCACGCCCCCAGCCACGCCCCGCGGCCGUGUGAUAACAAAGAUAAUGCAAUAAAAGCUGCGAGAGAGCCAGAAACGUGACCCAGGCAAUUGUUUGUUUGUCUGCUGCAUAUUGUACGUGUGUUUGGUGUGUUAUUGUGUAUCAGUGUGUGUGUGUGAGCAGCCGCCGUGGUCGUAGUAGUAGUAGUAACACAGCAGCAACAACAACAAACAACAACAAAGUCGUCUGGCGUUUUUUUACAAUAAUAAUUAAGAAAAUUACAAAAUUCAGUUCGAGUGUUUUUUACCUUGUUAUCUCUCACUAUCGCUCUCUCUCCCUCACACACACGCACAAAGUUCCCCCCGCACUUUCCCGGCGCGUUUCUUCGUCCGUCUCGCUCCCACAAAUGCGGAAGAGUCGGAAAUAGUAAAAUAAAUUAACAAAAAGAAAAACUGCUGCCGCCGUCGUCGCUGCUCAAAUAAUUUGUGCAUUUUUUAAGUUCUCUAAAAUGUCCUAAAAUCUCAUUUAAAUAAAUAAAAAGUGUCCAAUAAGGGACUUUAACAACACGACAAGAAGCGGAAAAGCAUUGAAUAGAUUAGAAUAGAAGCCAACCAAACAGCAACAAAUGGCCAACAAUUGAAUGGCGGCCAUCAGUAGCCCCCAGCGGCAUCCAUUGAGCAAUCAACACCAUUUCUCCCACAUCAAGCCAAGCACCACCACCACCACCGCCACCUCAGUCACCACCAGUUCUGGAAGCAACAGAACCAGAACCAGAACCACAUCCAAGUCCACAGUCGAAACCACCACCAUCCCGGAACUGAGCUCCAUCGGAACACGAGACAGUCAAAACAACAGAAACACCGAUAGCAACAACCAGCAGCGGGUGCAGCUGCUCGAAUUAUUUGGAAAGCUUGCCGCGUAGUCCAUCAAUGAGCGUUUCGAUGUCACUGGUACAGGGUGGUGCUGCCGGUGGUGCGCCACAGGGCGCCAGCGCAAUCUUGGCCGCAGCGGCUCCCUAUUAUCAGCCGCCAGCCGUUCCGCAGGAUGUCCAACCGGAUCGUCCCAUCGGCUAUGGAGCAUUCGGAGUUGUCUGGGCCGUCACAGAUCCUCGGGAUGGACGACGCGUGGCCUUGAAGAAGCUGCCAAAUGUGUUCCAAUCGUUGGUCUCAUCGAAACGCGUUUUUCGCGAGCUGAAAAUGCUUUGCUUUUUCAAGCACGAGAACGUUCUUUCGGCCCUGGACAUUCUACAGCCACCGCAUUUGGAUUUCUUCCAAGAAAUCUAUGUGAUAACGGAGCUGCUGCAAUCGGAUCUGCACAAGAUAAUCGUGUCGCCGCAGCACCUGUCCGCUGACCACAUCAAGGUGUUCCUCUACCAGAUCCUGCGCGGCCUCAAGUAUCUGCACUCGGCCCGCAUCCUGCAUCGCGACAUCAAGCCUGGCAAUCUGCUGGUCAACUCGAAUUGUGUCCUCAAGAUCUGUGACUUUGGACUGGCGCGUGUGGAGGAACCGGAUCAGGCCAAGCACAUGACCCAGGAGGUGGUCACCCAGUACUAUCGGGCUCCGGAAAUCCUUAUGGGCGCCCGCCACUACUCCUCGGCGGUGGAUGUAUGGUCGGUGGGCUGCAUUUUCGGCGAGCUGCUUGGCCGCCGAAUCCUAUUCCAGGCGCAGAAUCCCGUCCAGCAGCUGGAGCUGAUCACAGAGCUGCUGGGCACGCCCACCAUGGAGGAUAUGCGGCAUGCUUGCGAGGGAGCACGCACCCAUAUGCUACGUCGCGCACCCAAGCCGCCCUCCUUCUCGGUGCUCUACACACUCAGUUCACAUGCCACGCACGAGGCCGUGCACCUGCUCUGCCAGAUGCUCGUCUUUGAUCCGGACAAGCGCAUUUCCGUAACAGAUGCCCUGGCGCAUCCGUAUCUAGAUGAGGGUCGUCUUCGCUAUCAUUCUUGCAUGUGCAAAUGCUGCUUCACUACCUCGGCCGGAAUGCGCCAAUACACAGCUGACUUUGAGCCCUCCGCGGGCCAGCCCUUUGAUGAUCUUUGGGAGCGCAAGCUCACCUCUGUGCAGCAGGUCAAGGAGGAGAUGCACAAGUUCAUAGCCGAGCAGCUGCAAACGGGUCGAGUGCCGCUCUGCAUUAAUCCGCAGAGUGCGGCCUUCAAGAGCUUCGCCAGCCAAUGAGAAUGAGAAUAUCUACUACUACUACCACUACCACUACUACUACCACUACAACUUGCACUGCUGCUCCUGCCGCUGCUCCACACUCCGCCGCCGCUGCUCCAGAUCGGGAUCCUAGGCGCGCGCUUCUCCUCUCUCUCUCUCGCUCUCGCUAGAACGAAACGAUAUAUAGAAACGCAGAAGCAGAAGAUACUUACUGUCACAAGAUACUGUCCCCCCGCCUGGCUCUGAAUCAAUGAGUCACUGAAGCGAAUCGAAUGAGAAUGAUGAUUGUGAGGAGUCGCGAAUCAAGAUUAAGAAAGAUACAAUUACAGAUAUACAGAAUACAGAAAAAGAAAAGAGGCCUCUCGGGCGGCAACAGACUCUCUCUGCUCCUUCUUAGCUCGACUGUGGCACACCCCUCGGAGCUGCCGCCGUCGCCUCAUCAGUGGGAAUGACGGCAAAAUGAGGCGAUUGCUGCCUAAAAUCGAAACAAAAGCAACAACUCAGCCAAAUGAUAAACACACUCGCCGAAAGAGGAGGAAGAAGGAGACUCCCACACAGCAGGAUCCCCCCCCC